GAUGAACGCUAGCUAUAGGCUUAACACAUGCAAGUCGAGGGACCGGCGCACGGGUGAGUAACGCGUAUCCAACCUACCCAUAACUAAGGGAUAACCCAGCGAAAGUUGGACUAAUACCUUAUGGUUAUGGAUGGGGAUGCGUCUGAUUAGCUUGUUGGCGGUGUAACGGCCCACCAAGGCAACGAACAGUAGGGGUUCUGAGAGGAAGGUCCCCCACAUUGGCACUGUGACUCGGUCCAAACUGCUACGGGUGUCAGCAGUUAGGAACAUUGGUCAAUUGACGCAAGUCUGAACCAGCCAAGUAGCGUGCAGGAUGACGUCCUAUGGGUUGUAAACUGCUUUUAUAUGGGGAUAGGUACCAUAUGAAUAAUGACCGGCUAAUUCCGUGCCAGCAGCCGCGGUAAUUC
rnacentral:rRNA from 1 species